rnacentral:lncRNA from 1 species
GUUGGAGAGUCGUUGACCGGAUUCUUCGACCGACUAUCCCGAGAAGAAGAAGCCCUAGCCAUGGGAGAAGAAGACUAAAGAGAAUAAAAAGGAGAUGGACCCAAGAAGGAAGGACAAAAAUACUAAACCUGAAAGCUAAAAACAAAAAGAUGGAGAAGGAACCCUGAUCUUUUGGUGCUAGGGCAACUUCUCGACAGAGUUUCUACAGUAGAGGAUGAAGAUAAAAUGCAAAGUAAAAAUUUGAUCAAAAGCAAUCUUAUAUAUAUAGAAUCCCUCAAUGACC